UACGUAGGGGGGCUAGCGUUGUCCGGAAUCAUUGGGCGUAAAGCGCGUGUAGGCGGCCCGGUAAGUCCGCUGUGAAAGUCGGGGGGCUCAACCCUCGGAUGCCGGUGGAUACUGUCGGGCUAGAGUGCGGAAGAGGCGAGUGGAAUUCCUGGUGUAGCGGUGAAAUGCGCAGAUAUCAGGAGGAACACCAAUUGCGAAAGGCAGCUCGCUGGGGACGUUUACUGACGCUGAGA
rnacentral:rRNA from 1 species